rnacentral:rRNA from 1 species
GUAUACCGGUUCUCUUUAGAUCACCGAAGUCAAGCAUCAUUGGGCGCGGUCAGUACUUGGGUGAGUGACCCCCUGGGAACACCGCGUGCCGUU